GAAGAGAUGGCUGAGUGAUUGAUAGCUCUGUUCUUGAAAACCGAUAUAGUUCUUUCCGAACUCUCGAGGGUUUGAAUCCCUCUCUCUCUU
rfam:Populus trichocarpa isolate Nisqually-1 chromosome 8, whole genome shotgun sequence.